rnacentral:snoRNA from 1 species
UGAAAUGAUGAUUAAACUUUUAAUAUUAUAACUUUCGUUCUACUGACUGCGAUCAAACGAUCUUGUAGAAAACUUUUAUUUGCUGAUU